rnacentral:lncRNA from 1 species
UUCUCUGUGUGUUUUGAGCCCCUGAGCGAACUUUAUUCUUUUAGACCCAAAAUCCAAACAGGGAUGUUUCUACAUAGAUAGGACAGAGUAGAGAGAAGGAUCAGGGUCUCAUUGCUACUUAUUUUGCUUGUAGUCUAGUAGUGCCUACUGCUAUCUGUGUCUCCAAGUGAAGGAGCAAUGGCUUUUCUCCCAGGUAGGCUCCUUGUUCUCCUAGUUUGUGUUGGCCUUUUAGCCAUGGAACGAGGAUUUGUCCAUGGCCUUAGAAGUAUAGACCUUGUCCAUAGGCCAAGUUCAGGGCAUGGCCUAGCAGCAAAGAAGCCAGACAUCCUAAAGAACAUUAACGUCACAAACUUGAACACCAACAAGAGAUCAGCUUUAGCAUCUUCAUCGUUCCACUAUAGCCGAAUGAGCAAGAGAAGAGUUCGAAGAGGGUCUGAUCCAAUCCAUAAUAGGAGCUGAUUCUAUAGCAUCUUACUGCUGUAUUGCGGAGCUGCCACACCGAAACUUCAUCGAGCAAGCAACAUGAACCUGGAAAUGUCCAUGUGUUGUGAAGAAGUUACAAGGUUUUAUUAAGAUUCCAUUUCUUUUCUUUCUUUCCUCAUCUGGUUUUGUUACAGAGAAAUUUGUACAGAGAUGGUAUGGACAAGACGCUGAGUAUUCUCUGUUCUGUUAUUAAGUGAGUAGAAGAUUAGAAGGUGAUGCAGGAUGCUGUUGGAUCUCAAAGGUUGCCAAAUCAAGUAGAUUGUUUUGUUACAAAAGAGAGGCAGGACUGAUUUAUGUCAAAUUUCUGCCACUCUCGCAUAUUAUUGUGAAAUAUAGGAAUUCUUUCAUGCUGUGUUAUUAUGAAUAGAGUUAAUCAAUUUGGGCAUUAGUAGUCCAAAGAAAUCAGAUUGGCUUGCUCUUUUUCUUUUUCUUGCAUUCUUCUAGGACUUCAAGAUUUGAUUGCUUCAAAAUUUAAGACAACUUCAAACAGAGUCUGUCAUUUGAGGACAUCACACAAUGUUCUUUUCUAGUUGCCCG